UUACAGCCACAUCAUGUUGAAAAAAACAGUUUCUGUACGAUCACUGAAGUUAAGCAAAGUUGAGCCUGGUUAUUACCUAGACAGGUGACCACUUGGGAAUACCAGGUGCCAU